AUUGAACGCUGGCGGAAUGCUUUACACAUGCAAGUCGAACGGCAGCACGGACUUCGGUCUGGUGGCGAGUGGCGAACGGGUGAGUAAUACAUCGGAACGUGCCCAAUCGUGGGGGAUAACGUAGCGAAAGCUACGCUAAUACCGCAUACGAUCUAAGGAUGAAAGCGGGGGAUCGCAAGACCUCGCGCGAUUGGAGCGGCCGAUAUCAGAUUAGGUAGUUGGUGGGGUAAAGGCUCACCAAGCCAACGAUCUGUAGCUGGUCUGAGAGGACGACCAGCCACACUGGAACUGAGACACGGUCCAGACUCCUACGGGAGGCAGCAGUGGGGAAUUUUGGACAAUGGACGCAAGUCUGAUCCAGCCAUUCCGCGUGCAGGAUGAAGGCCCUCGGGUUGUAAACUGCUUUUGUACGGAACGAAAAGGUCUCUCUUAAUACGGGGGGCUCAUGACGGUACCGUAAGAAUAAGCACCGGCUAACUACGUGCCAGCCGCCGCUGUAA
rnacentral:rRNA from 1 species